rnacentral:rRNA from 1 species
AUGAGGGCCUUAUUCUGGAAUAUUAGAGGGUUCGGUGCUAGGGGGCGCCGUGACCAACUGAAAGAUUUGAUUCGUUCUAACUCUAUUGACUUUGUGGGGCUGGUUGAAACGUUUAAGGAUUCCUUUACCCCCAGUGAGCUUUCUGCUAUCGUGGGUUUGGAUAGAUUUCAGUGGCAAUCUUUACCGGCUUCGGGCCACUCUGGUGGGAUUCUGAUCGGUUCUAAUAAGGAUAUUUUUGACUUUGUUGCUUUUGAUCAUGGGUUUUAUUGGGCUAGUGUUGUUCUCUCGCAUAGAUCUAUGAAUGCCCUCUGUGAAUUUAUAGUUGUUUAUGGGCCCGCAGAUCACUCCUUUUCGCACCUUUUCCUUGAUGAACUUUCGAUCAAGCUUGAGUCUUGUUCUCUCCCGACGGUGAUUGGGGGAGACUUUAAUCUUCUGCGAUGCCCUCUUGACAAGAAUAAUGAUAAUUUUUCCUGGUCUUUAGCCAAUGCUUUUAACGACUUUAUUAGUGUCAACGCCAUUCGGGAGCUUCCUCGGGGGGGGGGGGAGCCCGCUUUACUUGGUCUAAUCAUCAGGCGAACCCUAUCAGAUCCGUGCUUGAUCGUGUCUUCCUAUGUCCCAGUUGGGAUGCCUUGUUUCCUAGGUCCUCUCUUGUAG